rnacentral:rRNA from 1 species
UACGGGAGGGUGCAAACGUUGCUCGGAAUCAUUGGGCGUAAAGCGCACGUAGGCGGACUGCUAAGUCGGACGUGAAAGCCCUCGGCUUAACCGAGGAAGUGCAUUCGAAACUGGCAGUCUUGAGUACGGGAGAGGGUCGCGGAAUUCCCGGUGUAGAGGUGAAAUUCGUAGAUAUCGGGGAGGAACACCAGUGGCGAAGGCGGC